GAGGAGCAUGAUGGAGGACUACCGUACCUACCGGGAGGCUGCCCUGCAGCAGCACCACGAACAGAAGACCGCCCGCCUGCAGCUCCGAGGAGGAGUGGACACUGACGAGCUGGACAGUAACACAGAUGACUGGGAGGAGGAGACCAUUGAGUUUUUUAUCAACGAAGAAAUCAUUCCCCUCGGAGAGUAGUCCCCUACGCAGGUCCAUUUUUGCGUGGGGACUAGAGGGGGGGGGGGCGUUGCCUUGUCGACUGGAGGAGGGAAAACUACGCUGAGAAUCUUGGGAGUCGCCAGAGUUCCACCAUUCUCUCUUUGUGACAUCAUCAAAGCGUGCCUUGUGGUAUAGCGACUACAGCAAGCUAACAACUGAGGGAGGAGGAGGAAACCAACUUUUAAACUCUUAAUUUUUUAUUCAUCACCUUGGUCUUUUUCUGCCACUUUUUGAAAUAGAACAAUACUGUCUUUUUUUUUUUCUCAUAAUCUAUCCUCGCUCACUCACUUUCUAUCCUUAUCUUGACUACACCCCCUUGCAGUCUUUAACCGUCGUUACCGUGGCAACGGUCACACCUUACCAUAAGGGGAGGGAUGAGGACGGGGUGUGUGACGUGGCAGUGUGUGUGUGAGGCUAAAGAGAGUGUUCUCCUGAUGACCAAACGUUCAAGGCUGUGUUGUAGUAGUAGUGUGUUGAAGUGGUAUCCUCCUCCGUUUAGACUACCUGACGUUGUUGUUGUUGUUAUCAUACUAGACCACAACUAUCACAUGAUCUUCGACGUCAAUAAAGAUAAACGUCAUACAAA